GUAGCGGUGAAAUGCGUAGAUAUUAGAAAGAACACCGGUGGCGAAAGCGCUCUACUGGACCAUUACUGACACUGAGAGGCGAAAGCUAGGGUAGCAAAAGGGAUUAGAUACCCCUGUAGUCCUAGCCGUAAACGAUGGAUACUAGGUGUUGUGCAGUUCGUACAGUAUCUUAGCUAACGCGUUAAGUAUCCCGCCUGGGGAGUACGCUCGCAAGGGUGAAACUCAAAGGAAUUGACGGGGGCCCGCAC
rnacentral:rRNA from 12 species